rnacentral:rRNA from 1 species
GGAAUAUUGGACAAUGGGCGCAAGCCUGAUCCAGCCAUGCCGCGUGCAGGAUGACGGUCCUAUGGAUUGUAAACUGCUUUUGCACAGGAAGAAACAACGCUACGUGUAGCGUCUUGACGGUACUGUGAGAAUAAGGAUCGGCUAACUCCGUGCCAGCAGCCGCGGUAAUACGGAGGAUCCAAGCGUUAUCCGGAAUCAUUGGGUUUAAAGGGUCCGUAGGCGGUCUUAUAAGUCAGUGGUGAAAUCUCCCCGCUCAACGGGGAAACGGCCAUUGAUACUGUAGGACUUGAAUUAUUAGGAAGUAACUAGAAUAUGUAGUGUAGCGGUGAAAUGCUUAGAGAUUACAUGGAAUACCAAUUGCGAAGGCAGGUUACUACUAAUGGAUUGACGCUGAUGGACGAAAGCGUGGGUAGCGAACAGGAUUAGAUACCCUUG